rnacentral:lncRNA from 1 species
AUAUAUAUAUAUAUAUAUAUAUAUAUAUAUAUCUAAUUAAUAAGUUCUUUUAUCAAGGAAUUCUGGAGCAGCUUUAUUGACUUGAUCAAUUAAUUCGUUGAUUAAAUCCACUGAAUGCUUUCGUAUGUCCUGACGUCUGGUGCACUGGUCUGGUUCACGAACGACUCGAACUGAAAUAAUUCUUUGAAUCCUUUGCUUGAUAAAAUACUUGAUCAGUCAUUCCGGGUUAGAUGUUGCUUCGAUAAAUUUGAUUAUAAAUAAUCAAAUUAAAUAUACUGGAAUCUUCUGGUCUUUGAUACUUGAUCUUCAGGCAAUCUUGAUAGCAGAAACAUAUUGAACUUUAUUCUUCACUGAGGCUUGAACAUAUUAAUGAACUUCUUUCAGUGGACGGAUG